GGCCGGUUAGCUCAGUUGGUUAGAGCGUCGUGCUAAUAACGCGAAUGUCGCGGGUUCGAUCCCCGUACUAGCCA
rnacentral:tRNA from 1 species